CCUACGGGGGGCAGCAGUGAGGAAUAUUGGUCAAUGGGCGGGAGCCUGAACCAGCCAAGCCGCGUGAGGGAUGACGGUCCUGCGUAUCGUAAACCUCUUUUGUCAGGGAACAAAGGCGGGGACUAGUCCCCGGAUGCGGGUACCUGAAGAAAAAGCAUCGGCUAAAUCCGUGCCAGCAGCCGCGGUAAUACGGAGGAUGCGAGCGUUAUCCGGAUUUAUUGGGUUUAAAGGGUGCGCAGGCGGCCUGUUAAGUCAGCGGUAAAAGUCCGGGGCUCAACCCCGGCGAGCCGUUGAAACUGGCGGGCUGGAGUGGGAGAGAAGUACGCGGAAUGCGCGGUGUAGCGGUGAAAUGCGUAGAUAUCGCGCAGAACCCCGAUUGCGAAGGCAGCGUACCGGCUCCACACUGACGCUGAGGCACGAAAGCGUGGGGAUCGAACAGGAUUAGAUACCCGUGUAGUC
rnacentral:rRNA from 1 species